CAAGUCGAACGCGGUUAUUCAGCAAUGGAUAACUAAGUGGCGAACGGGUGAGUAACACGUGGGGGACCUACCUUCGAGUGGGGGAUAACGUCCCGAAAGGGACGCUAAUACCGCAUAACAUCCUGCCUUUGAAAAGGUGGAGAUCAAAGCCGGGGAUCGUAAGACCUGGCGCUUGAUGAGGGGCCCGCGUCCGAUUAGCUAGUUGGUGAGGUAAUGGCCCACCAAGGCGACGAUCGGUAGCCGGCCUGAGAGGGCGGACGGCCACACUGGGACUGGGACACGGCCCAGACUCCUACGGGAGGCAGCAGUGGGGAAUUGUUCACAAUGGGCGCAAGCCUGAUGACGCAACGCCGCGUGGAGGAUGAAGGUCUUCGGAUUGUAAACUCCUGUUGCCCGGGACGAAAAGCUCCGACCUAACACGUCGGAGUCUGACGGUACCGGGUGAGGAAGCCCCGGCUAACUCUGUGCCAGCAGCCGCGGUAAUACAGAGGGGGCAAGCGUUGUUCGGAAUUACUGGGCGUAAAGGGCGCGUAGGCGGCCUUCUAAGUCGAACGUGAAAUCCCUGGGCUCAACCCAGGAACUGCGUCCGAUACUGGAAGGCUCGAAUCCGGGAGAGGGAUGUGGAAUUCCAGGUGUAGCGGUGAAAUGCGUAGAUAUCUGGAGGAACACCGGUGGCGAAGGCGACAUCCUGGACCGGUAUUGACGCUGAGGCGCGAAAGCCAGGGGAGCAAACGGGAUUAGAUACCCCGGUAGUCCUGGCCCUAAACGAUGAAUGCUUGGUGUGGCGGGUAUCGAUCCCUGCCGUGCCGAAGCUAACGCAUUAGCAUUCCGCUGGGGAGUACGGUCGCAAGGCUG
rnacentral:rRNA from 1 species